UAGGGAAUCUUCCGCAAUGGACGCAAGUCUGACGGAGCAACGCCGCGUGAGUGAAGAAGGAUUUCGGUUCGUAAAACUCUGUUGUUAGAGAAGAACAGCGCAUAGAGUAACUGUUAUGCGUGUGACGGUAUCUAACCAGAAAGUCACGGCUAACUACGUGCAAGCAGCCGCGGUAAUACGUAGGUGGCAAGCGUUGUCCGGAUUUAUUGGGCGUAAAGCGAGCGCAGGCGGUCAAUUAAGUCUGAUGUGAAAGCCCCCGGCUCAACCGGGGAGGGUCAUUGGAGACUGGUUGACUUGAGUGCAGAAGAGGAGAGUGGAAUUCCGUGUGUAGCGGUGAAAUGCGUAGAUAUAUGGAGGAACACCAGUGGCGAAGGCGACUCUAUGGUCUGUAACUGACGCUGAGGCUCGAAAGCGUGGGUAGCAAACAGG
rnacentral:rRNA from 1 species